UAGUCUGGGAUACCACUUGGAAACAGGUGCUAAUACCGGAUAAGAAAACGGAUCGCAUGAUCAGCUUUUAAAAGGCGGCGUAAGCUGUCGCUAUUGGAUGGCCCCGCGGUGCAUUAGCUAGUUGGUAAGGUAAAGGCUUACCAAGGCGAUGAUGCAUAGCCGAGUUGAGAGACUGAUCGGCCACAUUGGGACUGAGACACGGCCCAAACUCCUACGGGAGGCAGCAGCA
rnacentral:rRNA from 1 species